UGACGAUCGCUGGCGGCGUGCUUACACAUGCAAGUCGAACGAUGAAGACCGGUGCUUGCACUGGUUGGAUUAGUGGCGAACGGGUGAGUAAUACGUGAGUAACCUGCCUUUAACUCUGGGAUAAGCCUUGGAAACGAGGUCUAAUACCGGAUACGACCAGUUCCCGCAUGGGAUGCUGGUGGAAAGGGUUUGUACUGGUUUUAGAUGGGCUCACGGCCUAUCAGCUUGUUGGUGAGGUAACGGCUCACCAAGGCGACGACGGGUAGCCGGCCUGAGAGGGUGACCGGCCACACUGGGACUGAGACACGGCCCAGACUCCUACGGGAGGCAGCAGUGGGGAAUAUUGCACAAUGGGCGCAAGCCUGAUGCAGCGACGCCGCGUGAGGGAUGAAUGCCUUCGGGUUGUAAACCUCUUUCAGCAGGGAAGAAGCGAAAGUGACGGUACCUGCAGAAGAAGCGCCGGCUAACUACGUGCCAGCCGCCGCGGUAAUACGUCGUGACUGGAAAACCCCUGGGGGAAGU
rnacentral:rRNA from 1 species